UGGGGAAUAUUGCACAAUGGGCGCAAGCCUGAUGCAGCCAUGCCGCGUGUAUGAAGAAGGCCUUCGGGUUGUAAAGUACUUUCAGCGGGGAGGAAGGGAGUAAAGUUAAUACCUUUGCUCAUUGACGUUACCCGCAGAAGAAGCACCGGCUAACUCCGUGCCAGCAGCCGCGGUAAUACGGAGGGUGCAAGCGUUAAUCGGAAUUACUGGGCGUAAAGCGCACGCAGGCGGUUUGUUAAGUCAGAUGUGAAAUCCUCGGGCUCAACCUGGGAACUGCAUCUGAUACUGGUAAGCUUGAGUCUCGUAGAGGGGGGUAGAAUUCCAGGUGUAGCGGUGAAAUGCGUAGAGAUCUGGAGGAAUACCGGUGGCGAAGGCGGCCCCCUGGACGAAGACUGACGCUCAGGUGCGAAAGCGUGGGGAGCAAACAGG
rnacentral:rRNA from 1 species